rnacentral:rRNA from 1 species
AUUGAACGCUGGCGGCAUGCUUUACACAUGCAAGUCGAACGGCAGCGCGGGCUUCGGCCUGGCGGCGAGUGGCGAACGGGUGUGUAAUGCACCGGAAUGUGCCCAGUAGUGGGGGAUAGCACGGUGAAAGCCCGAUUAAUACCGCAUACGACCUGAGGGUGAAAGCCGGGGACCGAAAGGCCUCGCGCUAUUGUAGCGGCCGAUGUCGGAUUAGCUAGUUGGUGGGGUAAAGGCUUACCAAGACGACGAUUCGUAGUUGGUCUGAGAGAACGACCAGCCACACUGGGACUGAAACACGGCCCAGACUCCUGCGGGAGGCAGCAGUGGGGAAUUUUGGACAAUGGGGGCAACCCUGAACCAGCCAUGCCACGUGCGGGAAGAAGACGUUCGGGUUGUAAACCGCUUUUGUUCGGGAGGAAAUCCUCUGGGCUAAUACCCCGGGGGGAUGACGGUACCGGAGGAAUAAGCACCGGCUAACUACGUG